GAUGAACGCUGGCGGCGUGCUUAACACAUGCAAGUCGAACGAUGAAGCUCAGCUUGCUGGGUGGAUUAGUGGCGAACGGGUGAGUAACACGUGAGUAACCUGCCCUUAACUCUGGGAUAAGCCUGGGAAACUAGGUCUAAUACCGGAUAGGAGCGUCCACCGCAUGGUGGGUGUUGGAAAGAUUUAUCGGUUUUGGAUGGACUCGCGGCCUAUCAGCUUGUUGGUGAGGUAAUGGCUCACCAAGGCGACGACGGGUAGCCGGCCUGAGAGGGUGACCGGCCACAAUGGGACUGAGAGACGGCCCAGACUCCAACGGGAGGCAGCAGGCGGGAAUAUUGCACAAUGGGCGAAAGCCUGAUGCAGCGACGCCGCGUGAGGGAUGACGGCCUUCGGGUUGUAAACCUCUUUCAGUAGGGAAGAAGCGAAAGUGACGGUACCUGCAGAAGAAGCACCGGCUAACUACGUG
rnacentral:rRNA from 1 species